UGAUCAGCCACACUGGAACUGAGACACGGUCCAGACUCCUACGGGAGGCAGCAGUGGGGAAUAUUGCACAAUGGGCGCAAGCCUGAUGCAGCCAUGCCGCGUGUACGAAGAAGGCCCUUUCGGGUUGUAAAGCACUUUCAGUCGUGAGGAAGGUAGUGUAGUUAAUAGCUGUCAUUAUUUGACGUUAGCGACAGAAGAAGCAUCGGCUAACUCCGUGCCAGCAGCUGCGGUAAUACGGAGGGUGCGAGCGUUAAUCGGAAUUACUGGGCGUAAAGCGCAUGCAGGUGGUUUGUUAAGUCAGAUGUGAAAGCCCGGGGCUCAACCUCGGAAUAGCAUUUGAAACUGGCAGACUAGAGUACUGUAGAGGGGGGUAGAAUUUCAGGUGUAGCGGUGAAAUGCGUAGAGAUCUGAAGGAAUACCGGUGGCGAAGGCGGCCCCCUGGACAGAUACUGACACUCAGAUGCGAAAGCGUGGGGAGCAAACAGGAUUAGAUACCCUGGUAGUCCACGCCGUAAACGAUGUCUACUUGGAGGUUGUGGCCUUGAGCCGUGGCUUUCGGAGCUAACGCGUUAAGUAGACUGCCUGGGGAGUACGGUCGCAAGAUUAAAACUCAAAUGAAUUGACGGGGGCCCGCACAAGCGGUGGAGCAUGUGGUUUAAUUCGAUGCAACGCGAAGAACCUUACCUACUCUUGACAUCCAGAGAACUUUCCAGCGAUGGAUUGGUGCCUUCGGGAACUAUGAGACAGGUGCUGCAUGGCUGUCGUCAGCUCGUGUUGUGAAAUGUUGGGUUAAGUCCCGCAACGAGCGCAACCCUUAUCCUUGUUUGCCAGCGAGUAAUGUCGGGAACUCCAGGGAGACUGCCGGUGAUAAACCGGAGGAAGGUGGGGACAACGUCAAGUCAUCAUGGCCCUUACGAGUAGGGCUACACACGUGCUACAAUGGCGCAUACAGAGGGCGGCCAACUUGCGAAAGUGAGCGAAUCCCAAAACGUGCGUAGUAGUCCGGAUUGGAGUCUGCAACUCGACUCCAUGAAGUCGGAAUCGCUAGUAAUCGUGGAUCAGAAUGCCACGGUGAAUACGUUCCCGGGCCUUGUACACACCGCCCGUCACACCAUGGGAGUGGGCUGCAAAAGAAGUAGGUAGUUUAACCUUCGGGGGGACGUUCGUCUUAGAGGUUUUACG
rnacentral:rRNA from 1 species